UCUCAUUUGUUUUCUAGCCAGCCCCUGCAGCAUGGUUGUCAUAUUUAGUUCUUUGUUUGCUUUGUAACAUACUUGGGGCUUCUUCAGGAUAGGUUAAAGCAAGAGGAGUUUUGUUGUUUUUCUUCUAGAUUCUUUCAGUUUGGUCCCAUGUUUGUGGUUUGGCGGUGUGCUGUUUAAGCUUUUGGCUAUGGUUUGUGGCUCCUAUUGCAGCAAUUUGCAGGAUGAAAAACCCCCAGCCACAGAAUAACAGACUUCACAGGGAUUUAACCUGGCCAUCCAACAGUUGUAGAGGCUUGCAGAUGUCUUCAAGGUUGUACCCGAUUCCUGAUAAAAGGUUCUGAGGCUGGAGGAGGACAGUGGGGAGAUGUUCGACCUCAAGGCUUAUAUGUUAAUGUACAAUCAUGGAAAAUAUUGUGUAUGGACUGUUUUUCUAAUAAAACCCCAGUUAUUAGUC